rnacentral:rRNA from 1 species
CCUACGGGAGGCAGCAGUGAGGAAUUUUGGUCAAUGGGCGAGAGCCUGAACCAGCCAAGUCGCGUGAGGGAGUACUGCCCUAUGGGUUGUAAACCUCUUUUGUCGGGGAGCAAAAGCCGGACGUGUCCGGCUGUGAGAGUACCCGAAGAAAAAGCAUCGGCUAACUCCGUGCCAGCAGCCGCGGUAAUACGGAGGAUGCGAGCGUUAUCCGGAUUUAUUGGGUUUAAAGGGUGCGCAGGCGGAUUUUUAAGUCAGCGGUAAAAUCGUGGGGCUCAACCCCAUCCAGCCGUUGAAACUGGGGAUCUAGAGUGUGCGAGAGGUAUGCGGAAUGCGUGGUGUAGCGGUGAAAUGCAUAGAUAUCACGCAGAACCCCGAUUGCGAAGGCAGCAUACCGGUGCACAACUGACGCUCAGGCACGAAAGCGUGGGUAUCGAACAGGAUUAGAUACCCGGGUAGUC